CAGCCGCCGCGGUAAUACGAAGGGUGCAAGCGUUAAUCGGAAUUACUGGGCGUAAAGCGUGCGUAGGCGGUGAGUUAAGCCUGUUGUGAAAUCCCCGGGCUCAACCUGGGAAUGGCAAUGGAUACUGGCAAGCUAGAGUGUGUCAGAGGAUGGUGGAAUUCCCGGUGUAGCGGUGAAAUGCGUAGAGAUCGGGAGGAACAUCAGUGGCGAAGGCGGCCAUCUGGGACAACACUGACGCUGAGGCACGAAAGCGUGGGGAGCAAACAGGAUUAGAUACCCCUGUAGUCCCUGUCUCUUAUCA
rnacentral:rRNA from 1 species